UACAGAGGUCUCAAGCGUUGUUCGGAUUCAUUGGGCGUAAAGGGUGCGUAGGUGGCGGGGUAAGUCAGGUGUGAAAUCUCGAGGCUCAACCUCGAAACUGCACUUGAUACUGCCUUGCUCGAGUACUGGAGAGGAGAUUGGAAUUUACGGUGUAGCAGUGAAAUGCGUAGAUAUCUGGAGGAACACCGGUGGCGAAGGCGGCGUCCUGGACCAACACUGACACUGAUGAGCGAAAGCCAGGGGAGCAAACGGG
rnacentral:rRNA from 1 species